GCUGGGUGUGGUGGUGGGCACCUGUAGUCUCAGCCACUUGGGAGACUGAGGCAGGAGGACCACUUGAGCUCAGGAGUGCAUGGCCAGCCUAGGCAACACGGAUUGAUCCUGUAUCAA
rnacentral:sRNA from 1 species